GAUCGAUUGUGAAUUUAAAGCAAGAAGCUUGGAGGGUGUUUAGCAAUGGUGAAGGAAGAAGAUUAGUUAACUAGAAUAACCAUUGUUUAGGGGGGAUUUUUUUUUUUUUUUUUUUUUUUGAGUUGUUUAAAUGGUUAACUAAGGGUUAAACGUGGGUUUAGGGAAAAAAUGACGUCAUAAAUGGUAUUAAGUGAAGUCUAGUAGUAAAAUCAAAUUUUUAAAAAUAUUUUCAAUAGUAACUCAUAAAUUUUUUAGUUCCCAAUAUUAAUUUUUAAAAUGGCAUUAAUAUCUAGUAAUACUUGGCAAAUUUUCCUAAAGACUCUCUCUCUAAUAUAUAAGAAUAAAUUAGGGUCAUUGAUCUAAUGGAUUCUAAUCUGAUCCAACCGUGCAAAAUACACCCUAGUAAUGACAAUUUCGUAAUUUUUUAAGUUGAUAUUCAUCGUUCUUCUUCCUUUUUCCCGUAUCAUUUUCUCCACCCAUAAUUUCUCAGGUCUCUCUAAUUCUGACCCUGAAAUUUCGACUAAGCACUUAGAGGAAGAUCAAAUUGACGCUAUUCAUCAUCAAAUUGCUGAACUCGUCUGAUAAAUUAAUAUUUCAUUAAUCCAUCAGAUUCUAGAAGGGGCUUUUGAAUGGAUUUGAGCGUGAAACGACCAUUUACUACUAAGACAACUACUAGUUUGGAUAUGUGGUUGAAACAAUGUACUAAUAUUGUGCAUAAUCCGAGUGAUGGCUUUUUGAUCGAAUCACUUGUUUACCUGAUGAAUUGUUGAUUCACAUACUCUCUUUGCUGCCUGCCAAAGAUGCUGCUGUUGCACGCGUCUCCUGUAAGAGGAUUUUGCGUAUUUUCCCUUGGAUUUCAAGCCUCGUCUUUGAUAAUUUUUCUACUCCUGUUUGUUUUUUUAUCCCUCUAUUGAUCGUUACCCCAUUUAUCUUAAAUCUGUGGAUACUGUUAUCCAAGCACAUCGGUCUCAAUAUCUCACCAGGUUUAAAAUUCAUCUAGGGAAGGAUUUUAGCUCAGCAUGUUUCUGUCUGGGAAGAUGUAUGAGAAGAAAUCAUAUCUGUUAUCCAGACUUGAAAUCCACGCAAAUUAAUGCGUGGAUUACUUAUCCAUUAACCUGUAUCGGCCUCAGGGAGCUUGACCUUUAUAUUUACACGAGGGAACAAACUCAGUUACCAGCAGCAAUAUUCAUGUGUGAAACAUUAGAGGUGUUGAAGAUCGAUGUCAACCUCUGUCUUGAUCUAGCUUACAUCAUGCCAUCAUUUCGUCUUCCUAACUUGAAGUUACUUCACCUCUGUGUUUCUUUCAUUUCCGAGGAUGACUUUGUGCCUAGGCUAGUUGCUAGCUGCCCUGUACUUGAAGAUCUCACCGUGGUAGCCUCAUAUAACCAUAUCCAUAUUGCAAAUAUCUCUUCACCUAUUGUAUUUAAAAAUAUACCAUAGUGAUACAUAUGACUAUGAUAACAGUGACAUUAUGCUAUUCAUACUCCUAACCUGGAGUAUUUGAAUUACUGGGAUAAUCUAGCAUUAUCUUAUUCUAUCCCAAAGAUGGGCUCUUUUGCGGAAGCAAGUAUUGACCUUGGAAAUAAUUUGAUGAAUGUUACAAAGGAAGAAUCCGUUCAGCAAAUACUUAACCUCAUUAGACCCAUGUCUAUGUUCAGAAAUUAUCUUUGUCUGGCUCAAUUGUUGAGGGUCUGAGCGUUGUGGAGUUAAAGGAUCAACUGCCUGCGUUUCGUAGCUUGAAUCAUCUAGAGUUGAGUCAAUAUUAUAUGACGUAUUGGGAUAAAUUGUUGCCGUUUCUGAAUCGUUCGCUAGUCUUAGAAACACUGGUUUUUCCACAGGGAUUGAUUGAAUCACCAUCUUUUGAAAUUGAAAACAAUGCUUUCUAUAUUACAAGAGAGUUACUGGAGUUGGAACGCGAGUUUUUACAAACAACUCUUAUCAAUUAUUCCUUCUUGUUGCAGAAUCAAUCUUAAAAGAGAUUCUUUGGGGUAGAACGAGAGAUAUAUUUGAUCAAGUUUUUGUUGAGGCAUGCAUUAGUUUUGAAAGAAUUGGUCAUAUUCCGCGCAGCUUCUCAACAUUCAUAUGUAGAUCAAACGACACUUGAAAGCACAUUACAGAAUUUACCAAGGGCAUCAGUCGCUUGUUCAAUUCAAGUAAUCAAAAGUCCUACAUGUAAACAUUAGUCUGUAACUUAUAAUAUAGUACUGCCAUCUGUUUUAUAUUUUGUGCAAUAUUUACUAAAAAUAGUUGUUAUAUUAGUAUAAUAUUUCAUAAUAGCAGUUUUUUUUUUACUACUUUAAUCAUAUAUUUAGAAGGUCAAACUUUGAGAGGGAGUAUUUAUAUUGAAGAUAAAAUGAAGAUUUCCUUUUUGACAAUUUUGAUGUUGAUAAAUUUAAUAAUUGGAUAAAAUGUUUAAGAAUAUAGUUUAUCUGAAUAUGAUGCUGUUAAAGUUAUGAAUUUUGGAGGAAGUUGAAUUUGAUUUUGGUUGGUGUUGAUUUUGAUGAGUGUUGGUGAUUUGUGUGAGUUUUUACGGAUUGGAGAGAUGGCAUCAAAGAAUUAAAAGAUUUACUCAAAAAAAAGGAAAAAAAAAAAAAAAAAGAACUAAAGGAUUAUUAAAUUUAGAGUCCAGGGAUUUAGUUAGAGAAUUUAGUAUUGGCUCCUUCGAAGUUGUUAUCAUCAUCACCUGAAGGGGUGUCUGCUCAAGCGGACAAGUCUAUGCUGAUGACUUUCUCGAGCUACCCCCUAGAUUUAGUCAACUGCUAAACAUCGCCCACAAAUCUCUACAUAAAAUUCACAAUU